UUGUUGCGGUUAAAAAGCUCGUAGUUGGAUUUCUGUCGAGGGCGGCCGGUCCGCACUAUGUGCGUGUAUCUGGUUCAGUCUUGGCAUCCUCUUGGGGAUCGUUCGUGUGCUUGAUUGCAUGCGACGGAAUUCAAGACUUUUACUUUGAGGAAAUUAGAGUGUUCACGGCAAGCUAUCGCUUUGAAUACAUUAGCAUGGAAUGAUAAUAUAGGGCGUAAGUUCUAUCUUGUUGGUUCAUAGAAAAUACGCAAUGAUUAAUAGGGAUAAUUGGGGGCACUCGUAUUAACGCGUCAGAGGUGGAAUUCUUAGAUUGCGUUACGACGAACUACUGCGAAAGCAUUUGCCAAGGAUGUUUUCAUUGAUCAAGAACGAAAGUAUGGGGAUCGAAGACGAUUAGAUACCGUCGUAGUCUAUACCAUAAACUAUGCCAACUAGAGAUUGGAGGUCGUUUUAUUUAUGACUCCUUCAGCACCUUAUGAGAAAUCAAAGUUUUUGGGUUCCGGGGGGAGUAUGGUCGCAAGGCUGAAACUUAAAGGAAUUGACGGAAGGGCACCACCAGGAGUGGAGCCUGCGGCUUAAUUUGACUCAACACGGGAAAACUUACCAGGUCCAGACAUAGUAAGGAUUGACAGAUUGAUAGCUCUUUCCUGGAU
rnacentral:rRNA from 1 species